rnacentral:lncRNA from 8 species
CCAAGAAAAUACUUCCAAGAACAGUUGAUCAACAAAAUAAAUCAACAGAUGACUGUGCCUCACUGCUCAACAUCAGAACGGCUCACCACCCCACUCUGACAUGUCAACACUUAUACCAUAAUGUACAUCUGGAUCAGGACAUUAUCAGAACCUUUGCCAAGGACCUAAAAGAUGCAAAACUUGGUAGUGACCCACACACCCAUCACCCCAGCAACAGAGGUCCCCCACCCCAUUUUCUGAAACAACAGUACACCCACCAUCCCCAGGAGAAAAGAGCCAGACACGGCUUAUUGCAGCACAGCUUUACUAGACCAGGCCCAUCACAACACAGAUUUACCAGACCAGGCCCAACCCAACACAGCUCUACUAGACCCAUCCCAUCACAACACAGCUCUACUAGACCUGGCCCAUCACAACACAGCUCUACUAGACCAGGCCCAUCACAACACAGCUCUACUGGACCAUCACAACACAGCUCUACUAGACCAGGCCCAUCACAACACAGCUCUAUUAGACCAGUCCCAUCACAACACAGCUCUACUAGACCUGGCCCAUCACAAUACAGCUCUACUAGACCAGGCCCAUCACAACACAGCUCUGCUAGACCUGGCCCAUCACAACACAGCUCUACUGGACCUGGCCCAUCACAACACAGCUCUACUAGACCAGUCCCAUCACAACACAGCUCUAUUAGACCAGUCCCAUCACAACACAGCUCUACUAGACCCGUCCCAUCACAACACAGCUCUAAUAGAACAGGCCCAUCACAACACAGCUCUACUGGGCCUGGCCCAUCACAAUACUAGACCCUUCCCAUCACAACACAGCUCUGCUAGACCAGGCCCAUCACAACACAGCUCUACUAGACCAGGUCCAUCACAACACAGCUCUACUAGACCAGGUCCAUCACAACACAGCUCUACUAGACCAGUCCCAUCACAACACAGCUCUAUUAGACUAGUCCCAUCACAACACAGCUCUACUAGACCAGUCCCAUCACAACACAGCUCUACUAGACCAGGCCCAUCACAACACAGCUCUGCUAGAUCAGGCCCAUCACAACACAGCUCUGCUGGACCUGGCCCAUCACAACACAGCUCUACUGGCCCAUCACAACACAGCUCUACUAGACCAGGGCUUUCACAACACAGCUCUACUAGACCUGGCCCAUCACAACACAGCUCUACUGGACCUGGCCCAUCACAACACAGCUCUACUGGACCUGGCCCAUCACAACACAGCUCUACUGGACCUGGCCCAUCACAACACAGCUCUGACCACUACUCCAGGGUCAGACAGAACACUGUCCUUCAGAGAAG